GUUUAUCAAAAACAUGGCUUUUAGAAUUUAAUUUAAAGUUUGACCUGCCCACUGAAUUAUUUUAAAUGGCCGCAGUAUUUUAACUGUGCAAAGGUAGCAUAAUCAUUAGUUUUUUAAUUGAAAGCUAGAAUGAAUGGUUGGACGAAAUAUUUACUGUUUCAUUUGUAAUGAAAAUAAAAUUUUAUUUUUUAGUUAAAAAGCUAAAAUUAAAUUAAUAGACGAGAAGACCCUAUAAAUCUUUAUAUUUUAUUGGGGUGAUAUUAAAAUUUAAUAAACUUUUAAUUAUAAGUUUACAUAAAUUAAUGAAUUAUUGAUCCAUAUAUUAUGAUUAAAAAUUUAAGUUACUUUAGGGAUAACAGCGUAAUUUUUUUAGAGAGUUCAUAUUGAUAAAAAAGAUUGCGACCUCGAUGU
rnacentral:rRNA from 1 species